AUUCCCAUGCCCAUAACACAACCCACAAGGUACAAACAUAUCUACUCAAAAUGAAAAACAACACAACAACACACUCACAAAAUGGCAAAACAACAAAACUCAAAAAACCCCAACGAAACUUAACCAAAAUUCCCAUGCCCAUAACACAACCCACAAGGUACAAACAUAUCUACUCACAAUGAAAAACAACACAACAACACACUCACAAAAUGGCAAAACAACAAAACUCAAAAAAACCCCAACGAAACUUAACCAAAAUUCCCAUGCCCAUAACACAACCCACAAGGUACAAACAUAUCUACUCAAAAUGAAAAACAACACAACAACACACUCACAAAAUGGCAAAACAACAAAACUCAAAAAUCCCCAACGAAACUUAACCAAAAUUCCCAUGCCCAUAACACAACCCACAAGGUAUAAACAUAUCUACUCAAAAUGAAAAACAACACAACAACACACUCACAAAACGGCAAAACAACAAAACUCAAAAAAACCCCAACGAAACUUAACCAAAAUUCCCAUGCCCAUAACACAACCCACAAGGUACAAACAUAUCUACUCAAAAUGAAAAACAACACAACAACACACUCACAAAACGGCAAAACAACAAAACUCAAAAAAACCCCAACGAAACUUAACCAAAAUUCCCAUGCCCAUAACACAACCCACAAGGUACAAACAUAUCUACUCACAAUGAAAAACAACACAACAACACACUCACAAAAUGGCAAAACAACUGAGCAUGCGCAUUGGCGCCCAGCCGCAGAAGAGAAAGAAAAAGGGGGAAGGAAGGAAAGAGAGAAGGAAAGAAAAAAGGGAAUGAAGGAAGGAAAGAGGGAGUGAAGGAAGGGGGAAGAUGUAGAGAAAGAGGGAGGGAAGAAAGAAGGAAAGAGAGAAGGAAGAAAAGAGACCAGAAGAGAAAGAAAAAGGGGGAAGGAAGGAAAGAGAUAGAGAAGGAAGAGGAGAAGGAAAAA